CUGGCUCUGGUUCCAGGGACAAAGUGUGUUUCUUUGGCUGUGGUUUCAGGGUCAGGGUGUGUUUCCUUGGUUCUGGUUUCAGUACUAAAGUGGAUCCUUGGUUCUGGUUUCAGUACUAAAGUGGUUCUAUCACUGGCUUGGGUGUUAAUCUAUCUGUAGCAUUUAUCAAAAGAACCAAAGCUAUGCUGAGAAUUCACAUGGAAGUAAGGCAUGACUGAACAUAGGCUCCUUCCCAAUAAUGGAAAGAUGGACAGGGAGACACAUGCCACAGUUCAGUGAUUGGUAGUGUAGGAUGAAUGAAGUCUCAGCUGGUUCCAGUGUGUCUACAGGUAUUAUGUCAGAGUCAGUGAAGAAUGAGAAAGUGACCAAUGAAAGGGAGGAACUGAAAUGAACCACCUGCUUCUCUGGCUUUAGAGAUCUUAAAAGCUAUGGUUUGAGAGAAUUAGACUUCAAUUUACAAGGAUAAUUGCUUCACAUAUUAACUCUCUGACUUACUGUGAGUCUUAGGUCAGAUCCAUUCCAGGAGAACUUCAGAAGGAUAAAGCCCACAUCUGAAAGAAACCUUUCCUCAAUACACUGUGACUUCUGCUGUGGUAAAAGGGUAGCAUCAACCAUCCCUCUCCCUUUCAUGCCUUGCAGAGAUACACUCUCCACCAGAGGCAUGUGGCUUUUGCUGUAGAUACCAUCCACCUAGACAAACGUGAAGUUUCCACUUAACACUGCUUAGCUGGUGCAUCACAGGUAUAUCUUACCCCAUCUCCAUCCCCAGGCAGGGUUACAAUAUGCAUCUCUGGCUGACUAGAUACAUAUUCUAGGAUGGCUACAAGAGGCCCGAGAUUUCCUGCCUGUAUUCCCAAAGAGCUUGGAUUAAAGACAUGAACAAUCACAUACACCUGUCCUUAUUCCUGAUUUUAAUUGAUAUUAUUUUAUUUUCCUCUCCAUGUUGUACAAUGCUGUCACAGGUUUGAUAGAGAAAACCUUAAAAUUCCAA